rnacentral:rRNA from 1 species
GCUUGUCUCAAAGAUUAAGCCAUGCAUGUCUAAGUGUAAAUAAGUCUAUACUGUGAAACUGCGAAUGGCUCAUUAAAUCAGUUAUCGUUUAUUUGAUGAUCUCUUACUACUUGGAUAACCGUAGUAAUUCUAGAGCUAAUACAUGCACAAAAUCCCGACUUACGAAGGGAUGUAUUUAUUAGAUACAAACCAACAUCGUGGUGAUUCAUAAUAACUUAACGAAUCGCAUGGCCUUGCGCCGGCGAUGGUUCAUUCAAAUUUCUGCCCUAUCAACUUUCGAUGGUAGGAUAGUGGCCUACCAUGGUGGCAACGGGUAACGGGGAAUUAGGGUUCGAUUCCGGAGAGGGAGCCUGAGAAACGGCUACCACAUCCAAGGAAGGCAGCAGG